rnacentral:rRNA from 1 species
GUCCCAGACUCCUACGGGAGGCAGCAGUGGGGAAUAUUGCACAAUGGGGGAAACCCUGAUGCAGCGACGCCGCGUGAGUGAAGAAGUAAUUCGUUAUGUAAAUCUCUAUCAGCAGGGAAGAAAAUGACGGUACCUGAGUAAGAAGCCCCGGCUAACUACGUGCCAGCAGCCGCGGUAAUACGUAGGGGGCAAGCGUUAUCCGGAUUUACUGGGUGUAAAGGGAGCGUAGACGGCAAUGCAAGCCAGGAGUGAAAGCCCGGGGCCCAACCCCGGGACUGCUCUUGGAACUGCAUGGCUGGAGUACAGGAGGGGCAGGCGGAAUUCCUAGUGUAGCGGUGAAAUGCGUAGAUAUUAGGAGGAACACCGGUGGCGAAGGCGGCCUGCUGGACUGUGACUGACGUUGAGGCCCGAAGGCGUGGGGAGCAAACAGGAUUAGAUACCCGCGUAA